UUCCCGUUGAUCCUGCGGGAGAUUGCUGCUAUUAGGUUAAGACUAAGCCAUGCAAGUCAGGUAGUAAUACCGGCGAAAUGCUCAGUAACACGUCGUUAACCUGCCCAUAGAUUCGGGAUACCCACGGGAAACUGUGGUUAAUACCGAAUAGAACUUUUGUUCUGGAAUGAUAAUUGUUUGAAACGCAAGGUCUAUGGAUGGGACGGCGGCGGAUUAGGUUGUUGGCGGUGUAAUGGACCACCAAGCCGAUGAUCCGUACGGGCCUUGAGAGAGGUAGCCCGGAGAGGGACACUGAGAAACUGGUCCCAGCCCUACGGGGUGCAGCAGGCGCGAAACAUUUACCAUGCACGAAAGUGUGAUAAUGUUAACCUAAGUGCUCAUGCAUUGCAUGGGCUUUUGAUAAGGGUAAAUACCUUGUCGAAUAAGUGGUGGGUAAGACUGGUGCCAGCCGCCGCGGUAACACCAGCGCCACGAGUGGCAAUCGCGUUUAUUGGGCCUAAAGCGUCCGUAGCCGGCCAAGUAAAUCUUUUGUGAAAUCACAGGGCUUAACUCUGUGGAUUGCAGGAGACACUGCUUGGCUAGAGACUGGGAGGGGUCGGAAGUAUUCCAGGGGGAGCGGUAAAAUGUUGUAAUCCCUGGAGGACUACCGAUGGCGAAGGCAUCCGACCAGAACAGUUCUGACGGUGAGGGACGAAAGCUAGGGGAGCGAACCGGAUUAGAUACCCGAGUAGUCCUAGCCGUAAACGCUGCGAGCAAGGUGUUGCAGCUCCAUUAGGGAGCUGCAGUGUCGAAGAGAAGUCAUUAAGCUCGCCGCCUGGGAAGUACGGUCGCAAGACUGAAACUUUAAGGAAUUGGCGGGGGCGCACCACAAGGGGUGCGGCGUGCGGUUUAAUCUAACUCAACACAGAGAACCUUACUAGGGGCGACGGCACAAUGAAAGUCAUGCUGAAGACAUUACUCGAGGAGCCGAGAGGUGGUGCAUGGCCGUCGUCAGCUCGUGCCAUAAGGUGUCCUCUUAAGUGAGGUAACGAGCGAGACCUGUACCUACACUUGCUAACGAACGCUUGCGUGAUCGAGCACUGUGUAGGGACUGCCUUGGAAACAAGGAGGAAGGUGCAGGCUACGGUAGGUCUGUAUGCCCCGAAUCCCCUAGGCUACACGCGCGCAACAAUGGUAGGGACAAUGGGACACGACUCCGAAAGGAGAAGUCAAACCUCUAAACCCUAUCUUAGUUCAGAUUGAGGGUUGUAACCCACCCUCAUGACGACGGAAUCCCUAGUAAUCAGACGUCAUCAUCGUCUGGUGAAUAUGUCCCUGCGCCUUGCACACACCGCCCGUCAAAUCAACCGAGCAGGGUUCGGGUAAAGCAUAGUUUCUUGAUUAUGCUGAAUCUGGACUCAGUGAGGUGGGUUAAGUCGUCACAAGGUAGCCGUAGGGGAACCUGCGGCUGGAUCACCUCCUUU
rnacentral:rRNA from 1 species